rnacentral:lncRNA from 10 species
CAGUAUUUUCUGUAGAGAAGGCUGUUCAGAGAGAGAAAGGCAAAUGAAAGAAGAACAUCUUGAAUUUAUACAAUGACUGGGAGAAGGCUUAAUGUGUUCUUAGAAUUGUAACUCCUAUUUGGAGAGAUUGCAAAAAGGAGCACCAGGGACAGAACCCUUGGAAGGGCCACAGGGGAUGGCAAAUGGCUCUCUCAGUUAGCUGGCUGAGCAUGUGAGCAGUUGCAGGAAUUUCAUCAGGGGCAUACAAGUCGUGGAUUUGACUGGGACAAUUUCUUGUA